rnacentral:rRNA from 1 species
GAACGCUGGCGGCGUGCCUAACACAUGCAAGUCGAACGGUGUAAUGAUUGAAGUUUUCGGACAGAUUUCAUUACAGUAGGUGGCGGACGGGUGAGUAACGCGUGGAGAACCUGCACUGGUACUGGGGGAUAGCAGCUGGAAACGGCUGGUAAUACCGCAUGAGACCACGGAAGGGCAUCCUUCUGAGGCAAAAAGAUUUUAUCGGGUACAGGAUGGAUCCGCGUUUGAUUAGCCAGUUGGCGGGUAACGGCCCACCAAAGCGACGAUCAAUAGCCGGCCUGAGAGGGCGGACGGCCACAUUGGGACUGAGACACGGCCCAGACUCCUACGGGAGGCAGCAGUGGGGGAUAUUGCACAAUGGACGAAAGUCUGAUGCAGCGACGCCGCGUGAGUGAAGAAGUAUUUCGGUAUGUAAAGCUCUAUCAGCAGGGAAGAAAGGCUCCGGAAGGAGAGAUGACGGUACCUGAGUAAGAAGCCCGGCUAACUACGUGCC